rnacentral:ncRNA from 1 species
AUAUGAUGCUAGGGGAGCUUUCGAGCUGAGAGUGCAUAUGGUGCAGACCCUUUAACUUGUCCACGGAUAAUGCCGCAGCAAGGAAGCGAAUGUGCGAUACG